rnacentral:rRNA from 1 species
AGAGUUUGGACAUGGCUCAGGAUGAACGCUCCAGUAUGCUUAACACAUGCCAGUCGAACGGACUCUUCGGAGUUAGUGGCGGACGGGUGAGUAACGCGUGAGAAUCUGGCUUCCGGUUCGGGACAACAGUUGGAAACGACUGCUAAUACCGGCCAGGCCUGUGGGUGAAAGAUUAAUUGCCGGAAGAUGAGCUCGCGUCUGAUUAGCUAGUUGGUGUGGUAAGAGCGCACCAAGGCGACGAUUGAUAGCUGGUCUGAGAGGAUGAUCAGCCACACUGGGACUGAAACACGGCCCAGACUCCUGGAACCGGCACAGUGGCCAGAUUUUCCGCAAUGGGCGAAAGCCUGACGGAGCAAUACCGCGUGAGGGAGGGACGCUCUUGGGUUGUAAACCUCUUUUCUCAGGGAAUAAGAAAGUGAAGGUACCUGAGGAAUAAGCAUCGGCUAACUCCGUGCCAGCAGCCCCGAUAAUACGGAGCCGAAGCGUUAUCCGGAAUGAUUGGGCGUACCGAGCUUCGCAGGUGGUUGCUCAAGUCUGCUGUCAAAGAGUUUGGCUCAACCAAAUAAAGGCAGUGGAAACUGAGGACCAGGAGUGCGGUAAGGGCAGAGGGAAUUCCUGGUGUAGCGGUGAAAUGCGUAGAGAUCCCAAAGAACACCAUGGCGAAAGCGCUCUGCUGGGCCGUAACUGACACUGAGGGACGAAAGCUAGGGGAGCGAAUGGGAUUAGAUACCCCAGUAGGACGCCGUAAACGAUGGAUACUAGGCGUUGCCCGAAUCGGGACGGCAGUGUCGCCGACUUCAGUUAAGUAUCCCGCCUGGGGAGCUACGCACGCAAGUGUGAAACUCAAAGGCCAGUGACGGGGGCCCGCACAAGCGGCCAGUAUGUGGUUUAAUUCGAUGCAACGCGAAGAACCUUACCAGGGAAGCAUGUCCGGAAUCUACCUGAAAGGGAAGAGUGCCUUCGGGAGCCGGAACACAGGUGGUGCACCGAGUCGUCAGCUCUUGAGCCAGGAUGUUUUGAUAAGUCCCGCAACGAGCGCAACCCUCGUUCUUAGUUGCCAGCAUUAAGUUGGGGAUAGACUGCCGGUGACAAACCGGAGGCAAGGUGGGGAUGACGUCAAGGGACUGCCCCUUACGUCCUGGGCGACACACGUACUACAAUGCUGUGGACAAAGGGCAGCGAGGGACAAGUUAAGCAAACCACACAAAGGACGACUCAGUUCAGAUCGCAGGCUGCAACUCGCCUGCGUGAAGGAGGAAUCGCUAGUAAUUGCACCAGAAGCAUACUGCAGUGAAUUCGUUCCCGGGCCUUGUACACACCGCCCGUCACCCGAGCUGGUCACGCCCGAAGGGACUACUCCAACCCAUGUGGAGGAGGACGCCGAAGGUAGGACUGGUGACUGGGGUGAAGCCAGAACAAGGUA